UACAGAGGUCUCGAGCGUUAGGCGGAAUCACUGGGCUUAAAGCGUGUGUAGGCGGAUUGGUAAGUACCUUGUGAAAUCCCACGGCUUAACCGUGGAACUGCUUGGUAUACUGCCUGUCUUGAGCCAGCUAGGGGCGACCGGAACAAAUGGUGGAGCGGUGAAAUGCGUAGAUAUCAGGAGGAACACCGGGUGGCGAAGGCGGC
rnacentral:rRNA from 1 species